rnacentral:lncRNA from 1 species
CUCUGACCCCUCCAGCGUCUUCUCAGGGUCACUCUUUUUUUCUUUUUGGACUUGCACUGAAACCACCCACAGGAGAUGGGGAGGGAGAGAGGCGGGCAGUUACGAGGACAGAGUCGGCCCCUGAGCCCAGAUGGGAAGGAGCCCAGAGAGCGCCGGCACUGUCUGUGGGGAUGCACACCUCCCGUCCUCCUGCCUGACAUCCCCUGCCUUUCUCCUUCGGCAGCAGAAACACUGGCCGGGGAGGUUGCUCCCUCUGGCCUCGAUGCCAGGAAGAGGCCACAGAUGCUCAGCACGGUCGGGGACACCUAAGCCUGUCACUCUCUUUCGUGUUCCUCUCUUUGGGAGCGCUGGACCCUCUCUUCACAGCGGUGCACUUAUGAGAAAUAUCUGCACUGGACUCCAAGGUGCUUGGGAUCCGCCCAGCAGGAACCCAGCCACAGCCCCAGACCACGACAGCCAGGCAUCCUGCCAGCCAUUGGCUCAGCACCCUCUGCAGCACCAGUCACACCACCAAGGCCGCUGGCUGGCAUCCACAGGACCCUCUCAGAGCGUGUGGACCCUGCUCUCCCCUCCGUCCUGCUGUCCACCUGGAGCUGCUGGAUGCGGAGCCCACGCUGCCCAGAUGGGCAUCCUUGUCAUGGUCACCACUCUGAGUUCAUGGAGGAGGAGAGGACAAAGGAAUCUGACUUCACCCCCCGUGCAGUCUCAGGGAGGGAGGACUUCUUUCCACCUUACUCUCAAGGAAGGUAAAUAAAUCGAAGCAGAGUGGUGCUAAUGCCUACGUGUGAACACACAGGGAUUCCUCCAGUUCCUGAAAGGAACAAGACAUUGCACACCACCCUGUUUUGUUGGUCUGUUUCCCAUUUUCCUUAAACCAACAUCUACUCAUUCUGAACUAACUGACUGACUGAAGGGGAAAGAGGUGUUUUGCCCAAGCCUGAGGGCUUGCAAGGAGGGAGGAGGUUCUGUCUGCCGGGGGUCUGCAUGCAGAAAGGCGGGAAGAGCAGAGGAAUGACUGCACUCUGAAGAUGUCUGGAGGAUUCUCCCACUCCCCGAGAAUCAUUGCCUGCUUUUGUUAAAUAACAACACUUUACUUUGUUUGUUCACUUAUUUGCUUUGGUGCUGGGGAAGGAAGCCACAGCCUCACAGUGCUCUCUGCUACUGAGCUGCACCCCAGUCCCAGCUUUUCACCCAGUCCCAGUUUCUG